rnacentral:lncRNA from 1 species
AUAAUGACGUGUGUGUGACCUAUAAUGCAACUGAUUAAACAUUGAAGAGUGGGAAAAAUCUAAAUAAUUUCUGUCUGGUCUGUAGUGCAGAACUCAAAUUGGGCAUGGUGCUCAUGACACUGCAAACAUCUGGAGGUCUUCCUAAGUAAACAUUCAGACAGAUUCAGUCAGAACCUGGUACUGCCUGAGACCAGAGCAGGGAAGUCGCUUGCUGCAGGGAUGAAUAGCGCUGAAAGUAGUAAUAAGCAAUGUUCUUCUGAAAGCACAGAUGAGAGGAAGAAUAAUACUGUCAUUUUUCAUGCAGAUAUCAAGCCAGAGAUGGAAGACUGCUUGGGGAAGACAUAACUGCUUAGCUGCAGAUUGUGUAGCUGCUGCAGGCAUAAAGCACUUUGCCUAACUAUUGCCCAGAAGACAUAGGUACCGUGUGCAGUAUUUUUUACAUUGGGAUGCGGUUUGGGAUUGUGGAUGCUCUUAGACAACUGUAGUUUGGGGGCAGGAAUCAACAACUCCCCAUGCACUAAUUCAUUUUGAACUCAUGAAGUUUUGGUUACUCUCAUGUGAACAGGCUGUGUUUUACUCUCACAAGUGUAGCACAUCCUUCUAGCCCAGUUUCUCACUUGCCAGCCAAGAUAUUUCCACCUUGCAAAUGGUGGCUUAUCAUGGUACAGACUGGAGUGAAAAUUUGUAAUCAAGGACUAGGUGUGGGAUAAGAUCUCCCUUCCAUGCAAAUCCAAAGUGAACCAACUUGGUAAGCAGCUUUUAGUAGCAAUUAGUUAUUGUUAUUAAUUAUAAUUGUAAGAAUUAUAAAUCAUCAGUCAAAACAACAACAACAACAAUAACAACAACAACAUCAUGUUGAUAUGUUAAUUUCACUAAGGUAAGUACUGUGGCACCAUCUCAAUGUAAUUUUCUCCAGGAAAGAGAAGCAUUUCACAACAGUGAAUGGCAAAAGCAGGACAUAGCUUGUGACCUGAAUAUCUGUACAGAUCAAGGCAUGAGAAAUCCUUUGGAGCAGAACAGAGCUGGAUGGAAAUAGAAAUGUGCAAUACAAAACUAGCUAUCAAACAAUUCCAUAUGUUUCUCAUGAAUUUUUUCUAAUUUGGUUUUAAACAGGGAAAAAGUCUCAGAAUGAAGGCUUUGUCCAAACUACAUAUGGUUUGCGUGGACAGGGGAGAAGUGAACAGUGGGGACAUCUUGACUUCAGUAAGGCUUUUGAGACUGUUUCCCCUACAUGCCCAUAGGUAGCUCAGGAACUCUGGGCUAGCUGAGACGACAGUGAUGUGAAUUGGAGAACUGGCUGAAUGACAGAGCUCAGAGGGCUGUGACCAGUGGCACAGGGUGUAGCUGGAGGCCUGUAGCUGGUGGGGUUCCUCAGGGGUCAGUUCUGGCUUCAGUCU